rnacentral:rRNA from 1 species
GAUGAACGCUGGCGGCGUGCCUAAUACAUGCAAGUCGAGCGAACGGACGAGAAGCUUGCUUCUCUGAUGUUAGCGGCGGACGGGUGAGUAACACGUGGAUAACCUACCUAUAAGACUGGGAUAACUUCGGGAAACCGGAGCUAAUACCGGAUAAUAUUUUGAACCGCAUGGUUCAAAAGUGAAAGACGGUCUUGCUGUCACUUAUAGAUGGAUCCGCGCUGCAUUAGCUAGUUGGUAAGGUAACGGCUUACCAAGGCAACGAUGCAUAGCCGACCUGAGAGGGGGAUCGGCCAACCUGGAACUAGGAAACGGUCCAGACCCCUACGGGAGGCAGAAGUGGGAAAUCUUCCGCAAUGGGCGAAAGCCUGACGGGGCAACGCCGCGGGAGUGAUGAAGGUCUUCGGAUCGUAAAACUCUGUUAUUAGGGAAGAACAUAUGGUAAGUAACUGUGCACAUCUUGACGGUACCUAAUCAGAAAGCCACGGCUAACUACGUG